rnacentral:rRNA from 1 species
AGAGUGAACGCUGGCGGUAGGCCUAACACAUGCAAGUCGAGCGGUAGAGAGGUGCUUGCACCUCUUGAGAGCGGCGGACGGGUGAGUAAUGCCUAGGAAUCUGCCUAGUGGUGGGGGAUAACGUUCGGAAACGGACGCUAAUACCGCAUACGUCCUACGGGAGAAAGCGGGGGACCUUCGGGCCUCGCGCCAUUAGAUGAGCCUAGGUCGGAUUAGCUAGUUGGUGAGGUAAUGGCUCACCAAGGCGACGAUCCGUAACUGGUCUGAGAGGAUGAUCAGUCACACUGGAACUGAGACACGGUCCAGACUCCUACGGG